ensembl:lncRNA
GUAAAGGAAAGGAGCAAUGUGCAUAGAAAUAAUACUAUUGCCAACUACCAUUCAGCACAUCUAUUAUUUUAUUGUACUUAAUCCUCCCAACUCUAUAAGGAAGGUGGAGUCCAGAAACAGGAACCUACCAGAUUCAGGCUUCUAAGGAUGGAAUUAUAGCCAGGCCUCUGCUGCCCAUCUGGACAGCCUUUCCCCGCCUCCCCGGAAGUUAGAUGUGAGCAAGUGAUGUGGCUGUCAUCAUGGAACGUGAGCAGAGCUGACGUGGAGCAUCCACAGGCCUGGGGGGACGUGGCGGCGAGUCCUCCGUACUCUUUCUCCUUCCUGAUGGCUGGAAUCUGCACUCACAGCCACCCAGUAUCAACCAGUGACUGUGAUGGUACUGCCGAGGCGGGGGCACACAGGGCAAGGAGAGGCGCCCACCUCUUGCGCCACCCAUGUUGACAAUGUGGUGUAAGAGAGAAAUACAACCCUUUGUCUGCCUGGCCACGUGUUGCUGCCUCGCUUUGUUACAGCACUUUUCUCUGUUAUGGUAUGCUUCCUUCUAAUUGUCCUGCUCUGAGGUGUUCUUUUCCUCACAUUCCAUGGUCCUCUCUCAGAUCAGGGAGUCCGGGUUCACUAUCUAAUUCCACAACAGUAUUUAUUAAAAGUG